UACGGAGGGAGCUAGCGUUGUUCGGAAUCACUGGGCGUAAAGGGUGCGUAGGCGGGUCUUUAAGUCAGGGGUGAAAUCCUGGAGCUCAACUCCAGAACUGCCUUUGAUACUGAGGAUCUUGAGUUCGGGAGAGGUGAGUGGAACUGCGAGUGUAGAGGUGAAAUUCGUAGAUAUUCGCAAGAACACCAGUGGCGAGGGCGGCUCACUGGCCCGAUACUGACGCUGAGGCACGAAAGCGUGGGGAGCAAACAGG
rnacentral:rRNA from 1 species